rnacentral:lncRNA from 1 species
AUGAAAAGAGAGAAAAAGGGCCCAAAAGGGAGAGGAAAAGGAGCCCCAAAGGGAAACUUGUAUAAAUGGUGGGGAAGGAAGCUGAAAGUGGGAAUAUGUGCACGAAAGUGGGAUGUCAAUAAAUUGAAAAAAAGACUCUGUGGGAGAGACAUCAAAAAUGCAGGCUUUCUCCUUAAAAAAAUGAAAGAAAAAGUAAAAGAGAGGAAAAUGUGCCCAAAAGGGAGAGGAAAAGGAGCCCAAAAGAGAACAAUGAAAAAAUGGGGGAAAAAGAAGCUAAAAGUGGGAAUAUGUGCACGAAAGUGGGACCUCCAUAAAUUGGAAGAAGGACUUUGUGGGAGAGAUAUCAAAAAUGCAGUUUUUCUCCUUAAAAAAACGAAAGAAAAAGUAAAAGAGAGGAAAAUGUGCCCAAAAGGGAGAGGAAAAGGAGCCCCAAAGGAAAACUUCUAUAAAUGGUGGGGAAGGAAGCUGAAAGUGGGAAUAUCAGCACAAAAGUGGGAUGUCAAUAAAUUGGAAAAUGGACUCUGUGGGAGAGACAUCAAAAAUGCAGGUUUUCUCCUUAAAAAAAAUGAAAGAAAAAGUAAAAGAGAGGAAAAUGAGCCCAAAAGGGAGAGGAAAAGGAGCCCAAAAGGGAACAAUGAAAAAAUGGGGGAAAAAGAAGCUAAAAGUGGGAAUAUGUGCACAAAAGUGGGACCUCCCAAAAUCGAAAAAGGGACUCUAUCUUGCGGAUACCAAAAAUGCAGUUUUUCUCCUUAAAAAAACGAAAGAAAAAGUAAAAGCAAGGAAAAAGAGCCCAAAAGGGAGAGGAAAAGGAGCCCAAAAGGGAACAAUGAAGAAAUGGGGGAAAAAUGAACUAAAAGUGGGAAUAUGUGCACAAAAGUGUGACCUCCACAAAUCAGAAAAGGGACUCUAUGUUGGAAAUACCAAAAAUGCAGGUUUUCUCCUUAAAAAAAUGAAAGAAAAGUGAAAAGAGAGAAAAAGGGCCCAAAAGGGAGAGGAAAAGAGCCCAAAUGGAAACAAUGAAUAAAUGGGGGAAAAAGAAGGUAAAAGUGGGAACA